AUUAUCGAAGUAUAUGCAAUCAAUUCGAUAUCAGAGAGCUGAAAACUACAUUUAAUUUGCAAAAAUUUCAAUCUUAUAUAUUCAUAGCAUCACGAAGGAAGCAAAAGAAAAAAAAAAUUGUAGAAUAUUGAAGGUCAUCCCUUGAAGAAAUCCCUUACAUGGCUUCAUGGUGUUCUUCGAGGAUGUUGAUGGAAAUUGGCACGUUGGAGCCUUGGCAUCAUUACUCGACCUCAUUGGAACCAUUACUACUUUUUGGAACAUGUGGAGAUAGAAUCAAGGGUUAUGGCAGACAAAGGAAAGCUUAUGCAUGUGGUGGUUCAAGUUAGAAAGAAAGGAAAUGGAGAGGUAAUUGCUGUAGGUAACCU